ensembl:snoRNA
UGUGUGUUUGUUAAUUUGUGGAUAGAGAGAUACACAAAAUAAAUCCUCUUUUGCAACCCAGAACUCAUUGUUCAGUAUAAAUUUUGAUACCUAUACACACCUGUAAU